CCUACGGGAGGCAGCAGUGGGGAAUAUUGCACAAUGGGGGAAACCCUGAUGCAGCAACGCCGCGUGAAGGAAGACGGUUUUCGGAUUGUAAACUUCUGUUCUUAGUGAAGAAUAAUGACGGUAGCUAAGGAGCAAGCCACGGCUAACUACGUGCUAGCAGCCGCGGUAAUAUGUAGGUGGCAAGCGGUGUCCGGAAUUACUGGGUGUAAAGGGAGCGCAGGCGGGAAGCCAAGUCAGCUGUGAAAACUACAGGCUUAACUUAUAGACUGCAGUUGAAACUGGUUUUCUAGAGUACAGGAGAGGAUAGCGGAAUUCCGAGUGUAGCGGUGAAAUGCGUAGAUAUUAGGAGGAACACCAGUGGCGAAGGCGGCCAUCUGGACUGAAACUGACGCUGAGGCUCGAAAGUGUGGGGAGCGAACAGGAUUAGAUACCCCGGUAGUC
rnacentral:rRNA from 1 species